UGUAAAGGAAACUUUUCACAGCGCCAUUUUCAAUCGUCGAAGAUUUGUUCCUAAUUUAGUUUAUUUUUUAAGUGUUUACAGACGUUUUUGUUCAAUUUUCUGCUGUUUUGAACUUGGAACAGCUUGAUCUUUUUACAGAAUCACUUAUUUUCUAGAUUUGCCUCAAGAUCGGCUUUGGACCAAUACGAUAGCCGGGAAAAGUACAACAUCCGUUCAUAAGACCGGGAUAAGACUAGCAGUAGCUCCUAGAACAUAAUAUGAACGAGUCAAGACCACGACAGCCUCAGCCUCAGUGCCUUGAUCAGAUGACCGCAACAGGUCUAGAACCGCUGCGUACAGAAUUCUCUUCCGAUGAUGUCCAGCAACAGUUUCAACGCCGUCUUAAUCUCCUCUUCCGUCAUGUUUUCAAAAUCCUCCGCCCGGAAGGGAAAGAACCGAUUGUCGUUCCCGUUAAGCAUGCCAUUCCCACUGGCAUCGGGUGUACCGGCACCAGCCGGCUGCACUCCAUCCUCACCGUCAUCGUCAUCAUCAUCCUCCUCGUCCCGUAUCCGGUGCCGAUUGAGAUACUUCCACAGGAACGUUCCGAGCACGAGCGUAUUCGCUACGGCAACCGAUUUUAAUCCCAUCAGAAUCUUCAACGGUAAAAUGAACGCCUGCAGCAGCAGCACGGGAAG